UACGGAGGAUGCGAGCGUUAUCCGGAUUUAUUGGGUUUAAAGGGUGCGUAGGCGGCGAGUUAAGUCAGCGGUAAAAGCCCGGGGCUCAACCCCGGCCCGCCGUUGAAACUGGCUGGCUUGAGUUCAGGCGAGGUAGGCGGAAUUCGUGGUGUAGCGGUGAAAUGCAUAGAUAUCACGAAGAACUCCGAUUGCGAAGGCAGCUUACCAGUCUGCGACUGACGCUCAGGCACGAAAGUGUGGGUAUCGAACAGG
rnacentral:rRNA from 1 species